rnacentral:hammerhead_ribozyme from 1 species
AUCCAGAUGAAGAGUCCCAAAUAGGACGAAGUAUCGCACGUCCUGGAU